rfam:Patagioenas fasciata monilis isolate BTP2013 Sc31e1R_165, whole genome shotgun sequence.
AAAGCAGGCUGCAAUUACAGUGCUUCAUUCCGUGGGAGUACUGCCAUUUUCCUGCUGAGAGUGACUCUGUUAACACCGUGUUCGGUUUCACCUAUGCAGUGGUGAAAUUGCUGGUUCUUAACAUGUACAAGU